rnacentral:rRNA from 1 species
UACGUAGGGUCCGAGCGUUGUCCGGAAUUAUUGGGCGUAAAGGGCUCGUAGGCGGUCUGUCGCGUCGGGAGUGAAAACUCAGGGCUCAACCCUGAGCGUGCUUCCGAUACGGGCAGACUAGAGGUAUGCAGGGGAGAACGGAAUUCCUGGUGUAGCGGUGGAAUGCGUAGAGAUCGGGAAGAACAUCGGUGGCGAAGGCGGCCUGCUGGGCCGUUGCUGACGCUGAGGCGCGACAGCGUGGGGAGCAAACAGG